rnacentral:rRNA from 1 species
AUUGAACGCUGGCGGCAUGCCUUACACAUGCAAGUCGAACGGUAACAGGUUAAGCUGACGAGUGGCGAACGGGUGAGUAAUAUAUCGGAACGUGCCCAGUCGUGGGGGAUAACUGCUCGAAAGAGCAGCUAAUACCGCAUACGACCUGAGGGUGAAAGCGGGGGAUCGCAAGACCUCGCGCGAUUGGAGCGGCCGAUAUCAGAUUAGGUAGUUGGUGGGGUAAAGGCCUACCAAGCCUACGAUCUGUAGCUGGUCUGAGAGGACGACCAGCCACACUAGGACUGAGACACGGCCCAGACUCCUACGGGAGGCAGCAGUGGGGAAUUUUGGACAAUGGACGCAAGUCUGAUCCAGCCAUGCCGCGUGCGGGAAGAAGGCCUUCGAGUUGUAAACCGCUUUUGUCAAGGAAGAAAAGGUUCUGGUUAAUACCUGGGACUCAUGACGGUACCUGAAGAAUAAGCACCGGCUAACUACGUGCCAGCAGCCGCCGUAAGAC